rnacentral:rRNA from 1 species
GCCAGACUCCUACGGGAGGCAGCAGUGAGGAAUAUUGGUCAAUGGUCGGGAGGCUGAACCAGCCAAGCCGCGUGAGGGAGGAAGGUACAGAGUAUCGUAAACCUCUUUUGUCAGGGAACAAAGGCGGGGACGUGUCCCCGGAUGAGUGUACCUGAAGAAAAAGCAUCGGCUAACUCCGUGCCAGCAGCCGCGGUAAUACGGAGGAUGCGAGCGUUAUCCGGAUUUAUUGGGUUUAAAGGGUGCGCAGGCGGUCUGUUAAGUCAGCGGUCAAAGCCCGGGGCCCAACCCCGGAACUGCUCUGGAAACUGUGCGGCUAGAGUACUGGAGGGGCAGGCGGAAUUCCUAGUGUAGCGGUGAAAUGCGUAGAUAUCACGAAGAACCCCGAUUGCGAAGGCAGCCUGCCGCAGCGUUACUGACGCUGAAGCUCGAAAGCGCGGGUAUCGAACAGGAUUAGAUACCCCGAAA